UACGGAAGGCAGCAGUGGGGAAUAUUGGACAAUGGGCGCAAGCCUGAUCCAGCCAUGCCGCGUGUGUGAAGAAGGCCUUCGGGUUGUAAAGCACUUUUGUCCGGAAAGAAAAGCUUAGGGUUAAUAACCUUGAGUCAUGACGGUACCGGAAGAAUAAGCACCGGCUAACUUCGUGCCAGCAGCCGCGGUAAUACGAAGGGUGCAAGCGUUACUCGGAAUUACUGGGCGUAAAGCGUGCGUAGGUGGUUUUGUUAAGUCUGAUGUGAAAGCCCUGGGCUCAACCUGGGAAUGGCAUUGGAAACUGGCUUACUAGAGUGCGGUAGAGGGGUGUGGAAUUCCCGGUGUAGCAGUGAAAUGCGUAGAUAUCGGGAGGAACAUCUGUGGGCGAAGGCGACACCCUGGGACCAGCACUGACACUGAGGCACGAAAGCGUGGGGAGCAAACAGGAUUAGAUACC
rnacentral:rRNA from 1 species